rnacentral:misc_RNA from 1 species
GUGAAUCAUCGAAUUUUUGAACGCACAUUGCACUCUCUUCGGUGAGUAUGCCUGUUUGAGGGUCAGCCUAAAAAAAAUCGACAUAGUCGUUGUUUCGCGGUGAUAUUCGUCGGAAAUUGGGUCAUCUUUAACCUUUGGGGUUUAAGCGGCUUAAAAUUUUCUUUACGAUUAUACGAACGUUCCUAAGAUUUACUUACACUUUUAAGGUUUCGAUUUUUAUUAGACGUGGCCGUUGCAUCGG